GGGGCGUUAGCUCAGAGGCAGAGCGCUAUCCUCACACGGUAGAUGUCAUUGGUUCAAAUCCAAUACGCCCCA
rnacentral:tRNA from 1 species